CAGCAGCCGCGGGAAUACGAGGGGGGCAAGCGUUGUUCGGAAUUAUUGGGCGUAAAGGGUGCGUAGGCGGCUUGACAAGUCUUGUGUGAAAUCUAUGGGCUCAACCCAUAGUCUGCACGGGAAACUGUCGGGCUUGAGAAUGGGAGAGGUGAGUGGAAUUUCCGGUGUAGCGGUGAAAUGCGUAGAUAUCGGAAGGAACACCUGUGGCGAAAGCGGCUCACUGGACCAUUUCUGACGCUGAUGCACGAAAGCUAGGGGAGCAAACAGGAUUAGAGACCCCGGUAGUCCCUGUCUCUUAUAC
rnacentral:rRNA from 1 species